AAACUACAGGAACAGAAGGGAGGGAGUGGUGAUGUGCUCCCGAGACCCCAGGAGGCGGGCAGCACAUAUGGGGAAACUGAGGCACCACAAGUAUCCAGUCCAAGCAGAAGCUGACCGCCCUGCCACCCAGCCGUCCCCACGCUCACCACGUCCUGGAUGGCCGCCAGCUCCUGCCGCCGGACGUGGGACGUACCUUUCAUCGCCUGCUCAUAUACCAGGUCGUAGGUGUCCAGCAUGGCGUCCUCCACCUGCACCGAGAGACCACAGGGAGGUCCUGGCCCUGGUGGGAGAUCCGGGGACACAGCCCCCUCCCCACGACAUCCCAAACGCUAGUGGGCCCUUAGUGCUGAGUGACGUCCCAGCACUGCCCUCCUUGUAGCAGGUGGAUCUCCCCAAAGCGGAACCUGGGUCCCUGGGCAGCCAGUCACAGUGCUUCCCAACAUCAACGAUGGGGCCUUCACACAAUGGCCGUCAGAGUGGCCCUCCUGCCCCCAGAGGGUCCCGCAGGAUAAAGCAGAGGCCAAGCUCUGCGUCCGCCUCCGCUGUGGUCUUACAAGGUUGGCCCACAGAAGUUUCCAGCACGCUACUGUUGACCCGGAAAUGGGGGAUGGGGCUGGGCCUGGUGGAAAAGGCUUGAGAGACCCUGUGCCAGGACCUCAGCUCCCAGAAAGCUUGGGGAUUCUAGAUCUUUCCCAAGAAUCACCCGGCUGCCUUCUGGAAGCCCGGGCAGCUGGGCUCCGGGUAAGGCUUUUGACCAGAGAAGCCUUGGGCACCUGAGGCCAGAUCUGGGUGGACGAGGCCACUGUGGGGCAGGGGGUGAAGAAGGUGGAAGGUGACGGGGCCUGGCUGGAUGUGCUGCCUGCGCUCCACACCUCACCAACACCUGGACCUCAUGUCUCCACCCUCCUAAGCAAGAUGCUCUCCCCUGCCAAGUUACUCCUUCAAAGACAAACUGGAAUCUCGCCUCCUACAGGAAGGCUUCUGUGACUGCUCCAGGAGUCGCUGGUCUCCUGGCACAGGGCGAGGCCCUCUUUGAGGUCCCUGCCCUCUGAUGUCUCCUUCCUGCCUCAGAGGCCCUCAGUUCUCCCCCAAAUGCCAUGCUGACAGUCAAGACACAUGAAGGGGGUGCUCAGCAGCUGCCCCAAAGGGCUGGGGGAGGAUGGAAGCCCCAGGCCCGCUCUAGCCACUCACACCUGCCCUCCAGAAAGGAAGGGUGGCUUACGGCGGUCCUCAUUGCACUGGGGCCCAGCCCCCGUGGCAGGCCCUGACAGCGGCCAACUGGGCGGGCAGUGGGCAGUGGAGGCUCUCGGUCAGCCCUGCCCAAGCCUGGAGGCCCCAACAGGAGUCAGAUGGACUUUCCAGGCCAAACUUGGCUCCUGACCCUAAUGCAUCCCUCCCAUUGAUGCUAAUAAAAGUCAGACCACUCUCCGUGAGUCA